rnacentral:rRNA from 1 species
UACGUAGGGGGCAAGCGUUGUCCGGAUUUAUUGGGCGUAAAGAGCGUGUAGGCGGCCUGACAGGUCUGCUGUGAAAACUCGAGGCUCAACCUCGAGAUGUCGGCGGAAACCGUCUGGCUAGAGUCCGGAAGAGGAGAGUGGAAUUCCUGGUGUAGCGGUGAAAUGCGUAGAUAUCAGGAAGAACACCAAUGGCGAAAGCAGCUUUCUGGGACGGUACUGACGCUGAGACGCGAAAGCGUGGGGAGCGAACAGG